rfam:Oryza barthii chromosome 12, whole genome shotgun sequence.
GACUUUUUUUCCUAGUCUAAACUUCUUUUAAGUUUGACUGAGUUUAUAAAAAAACAUAGCAACGUUUUCAACACAAAACAAACAUGCUAUCAAAAUAUAUACAAUGCUAGAUUUCAUGAAACCAAUUUGGUGCUGUCGAUGCUUCUAAUUUUUUUUAUAAACUUGGUCAAACUUAAAAGAAGUUUGACUAGGAAAAAAAGUCG